rnacentral:rRNA from 1 species
UUCCGGUUGAUCCUGCCGGAGGCCACUGCUAUCGGGCUUCGACUAAGCCAUGCGAGUUCAGGGGCUCUUCGGAGCACCGGCGGACUGCUCAGUAACACGUGGAUAACCUACCCUCAGGUGGGAGAUAACCUCGGAAAACUGAGGCUAAUACCCCAUAGGUCUAAAAUACUGGAAUGUUUUAAGACUGAAAGCUUCGACGCCUGAGGAUGGGUCUGCGGCCUAUCAGGUAGUUGGUGGUGUAAAGGACCACCACGCCUACGACGGGUACGGGCCCUGAGAGGGGAAGCCCGGAGAUGGAAUCUGAGACACGAUUCCAGGCCCUACGGGGCGCAGCAGGCGCGAAAUCUUCGCAAUGCGCGAAAGCGCGACGAGGGAAGCUCGAGUGCCCUUCCUUCGGGGAGGGCUUUUCUGGAUCCUAAAAAGCUCCAGGAAUAAGGGCUGGGCAAGACGGGUGCCAGCCGCCGCGGUAAUACCCGCAGCUCAAGUGGUGGCCGCUAUUAUUGAGCCUAAAGCGUCCGUAGCCGGACCCGUAAAUCCCUGGGUAAAUCCUGGCGCUUAACGUCAGGAAUUCCGGGGAGACUGCGGGUCUUGGGACCGGGAGAGGUCGGAGGUACUCCUGGGGUAGCGGUGAAAUGCUGUAAUCCUGGGGGGACCACCAGUGGCGAAAGCGUCCGACUUGAACGGCUCCGACGGUGAGGGACGAAGGCCAGGGGAGCAAACCGGAUUAGAUACCCGGGUAGUCCUGGCUGUAAACGCUGCCCGCUGGGUGUUGUCGGUCUUUCGGGGGCCGGCAGUGCCGGAGCGAAGGUGUUAAGCGGGCCGCUUGGGGAGUACGGCCGCAAGGCUGAAACUUAAAGGAAUUGGCGGGAGAGCACUGCAACGGGAGGAGCGUGCGGUUUAAUUGGAGUCAACGCCGGA